ACGCUCGACACCUACGGGAGGCAGCAGUGGGGAAUAUUGGGCAAUGGGCGCAAGCCUGACCCAGCAACGCCGCGUGAAGGAAGAAGGCUUUCGGGUUGUAAACUUCUUUUGUCAGGGAACAGUAGAAGAGGGUACCUGACGAAUAAGCCACGGCUAACUACGUACCAGCAGCCGCGGUAAUCUGAGCGGGCUGGCAAGGC
rnacentral:rRNA from 1 species